rnacentral:rRNA from 1 species
UGGAGGGCAAGUCUGGUGCCAGCAGCCGCGGUAAUUCCAGCUCCAAUAGCGUAUAUUAAAGUUGUUGCAGUUAAAAAGCUCGUAGUUGAAUUUCGGGGUUCUACCGUUGGUCGGGCUUUGUCUGUACUGGUGUGUAGAAUUUCUACCUUCUGGGGAACCAUCAUGCUAUUAAUUUAGCGUGGUGGGAAACCAGGACCUUUACCUUGAAAAAAUUAGUGUGUUCAAAGCAGGCUUAUGUCUGAAUACAUUAGCGUGGAAUAAUAGAAUAGGACGGUGGUCCUGUUUUGUUGGUUUCUGAAUCACCGUAAUGAUUAAUAGGGAUAGUUGGGGGCAUUAGUAUUCAAUUGUCAGAGGUGAAAUUCUUGGAUUUAUUGAAGACUAACUACUGCGAAAGCAUUUGCCAAGGAUGUUUUCAUUAAUCAAGAACGAAAGUUAGGGGAUCGAAGACGAUCAGAUACCGUCGUAGUCCUAACCAUAAACUAUGCCGACUAGGGAUCGGAUGAUGUUAAUUUUUUAAUGACUCGUUCGGCGCCUUACGGGAAAC